rnacentral:tRNA from 1 species
GGUGCUGUGGCUCAAGUGGUAGAGCACUUGCCUUGAGUGCAAGAGCUGAAGGACAGUGCCC